GUUAAGACUACUUGUUGAGGGCCUG
rnacentral:piRNA from 1 species